UAUUUUAUUUAUUAACUACAUAUUUAAUUUACUGUGACGUUAUGCUGAAAUACGAGAAAGUCUGUCAACUUUACAAGAUAAGUUCAUCUCCUUGUCGCUGGGAGGCGCCAAAUAUAAGAUACUGUACUAGCUCAGGUUUUACCUCCAGGUUUAGAUUCAAAACUAAAAAUACUAUCCAACAAAUAGUUUCAGUUUUAAUUGUAUUAUUUUAUUCUGAAGCACGUUGUUGUCAACAGGGCAAUUUGUUUUCUGAAGAUCCAGUUUUAUAUUUGAAACUUCAUGUGCCACAUGAAAAGGUGAGCCAGACUGGAUGACGGAUGAAGACAGGCAGAUGGUAGCAGACAGAAGAUGGGUCACAGGCAAGUAGCAGGGCUGUUAAGACUCGUUUUGCACAGUGCAGACACACAGUCAAAGUUCAUCAGUGACAGAGAAUCAAGCCCUGGAGAGGUGUCAGGUGUGAACAUGUAUGUCCUGAAUGAUGAAUGUGUAUGUCCUAUGAUGAU